AGAGUUUGAUCCUGGCUCAGAACGAACGCUGGCGGCGUGCUUAACACAUGCAAGUCGAACGCGAAAAGUUUUCUUCGGAAGACGAGUAGAGUGGCGCACGGGUGAGUAACGCGUAAGUAAUCUACCCCGGCAUCUGGAAUAACUCACCGAAAGGUGUGCUAAUACCGGAUACGUUGGUAACAAGAAAGGUGGCCUCUGCAUAUGCUACCGUGCUGGGAUGAGCUUGCGUACCAUUAGCUAGUUGGUAGGGUAAAGGCCUACCAAGGCGACGAUGGUUAGCGGGUCUGAGAGGAUGAUCCGCCACACUGGAACUGGAACACGGACCAGACUCCUACGGGAGGCAGCAGUGRGGAAUUUUGCGCAAUGGGGGAAACCCUGACGCAGCAACGCCGCGUGAGUGAUGAAGGCUUUCGGGUCGUAAAGCUCUGUCAGAGGGGAAGAAAUGUAUGGAUGCUAAUACCAUCUUUACUUGACGGUACCCUCAAAGGAAGCACCGGCUAACUCCGUGCCAGCAGCCGCGGUAAUA
rnacentral:rRNA from 1 species